CGACCGCGCCUGAGCGCGGGGCGCGCUGCGCCGGGCUCGGCCCCUGGACGGCCCGAAGUUCCGAGUUCGCCCUUUGACUGUGUGUUGAGAUCUGCCCGGUAGCCUGAGCCGCCGCCGCCAAAAGUUUUCGCGGGGACUGCGCGGACGCCGGUCCCUUUGUGAAGUUACCGUCCCGCAGUGUAAACACUCGAGCGGGACUCGCCCGCCGCCGCGGCGAGGACGGGAGCCAUGUUGGUGCAUUUGUUGCGUGCAGGGGAGCCCGGGGCUCGCCUCGCACGGAGCGCUGUGUUGAUGGUAUCAAUCGGGUUCGAGAAAAUUUGCCGUCUUUUCUGUCAAGUCUGAAUCUUAGAAACUGCUCGAGAGGGAAUUUAAAGUGGAACGGUUUGGAGAACCUGCCAGAAAUGCACAGACCUUUGUGUGUUUCGGGCUGUGUCUGGGGUCUGCGGUAGCGCUCGGGAAGGUGCGGGUCUCUACGCAAAAGCGGUGCUGGCAGAUGCACGUAGUGCUGGUAAAAUCGAGGGCCCUGGUUUCAUCAGGACCAUGUUUCCGAGGACUUUUUGGUCAGUGAAAUUGUAUUUUUCGAAUAGCCUUUGCUAGGGUUGCAUGUUACAUCCAUUGCGCAUAUCUUGUUGUAACAGAAGCUGUUCUUUAAAUACCAAUUUUGGUUUUUCCAGUCAACAGUUUUGAGCAUUUUGAACCCUGGAAGGGGUUUUCAACGGGUAUUUAGAAUCUAGAUUCUGAGAAUCCUUUUGGAACAAUGAAAUGCAAAAUAAUUGCUAGCAGUUUAACCUCCUAUCAUUUUACGUGAGGUAUUGGGGGAGGGAGAGACUGAAAAUGUUCGGGAUCCUGGUCUGAAAUUGAAUAAAGGUCACAGAUAUUACGUAUUUCAGGCUUGCUUAAAGACAGGACUAAUAACCCAUUUGGUGAGAUCAAAUAACUUGUGGUUUAAAAAUUUAACCAGUGGCCAUUUUAACUUCACUAAUUUCUCCUGGAGGAGUUAAUUUUUAAUAAAGAUGGUAAAGGAAAUUUUAAGAUGAUCUGAGUCUUAAAAAAAGGGCAAACUUUUCCUUUGUGUUUGUGUAUUGCCUGGUAUCAGAAAAAUAAAAACAAGGUCAUAAUCUUACAUCUGUCUAAAGAUGUGGAUUUUCUGUUUCUUUUUAAUCGUGAUGCUUUAAUUUCUACUGUUCUUUCCAUACCUCCAGAAGAGGAGGAAAAGGACUGUUAGAUUUUGCGAUUAAAGAAUUGCCGCAACCCAAAUGUGUAGGUAGUAUGCCAGUGAGUUGCCUUAAAUUUGCCCAUAGAUCCAGUCUUUGGAAUAUUUUCUCAUUAUUUCUUUUCACUGAAAUUUUGGUCAAGAAAUGUUGGAAAAUAAAACAAAACAAAACCCAGAACUCUAAACAUUGAUAUCAUCUUUUUUUUUCUUAAAGGUAACUUACGAGAUUACAGUAAAUUUGGUUGAUGAUGGUCCUGAGCAAAUACAGCGUUAAUUUGAGAAAUGUGUAUCCUGAGACUGAAUUCUCUAAAGGGCCUGUACAACGUAAUAGAUGUUGGUGGAAGCAUUUACACCCAGUCAGCUUGAAGAGUCUCAAAUGGACCCUACCACUGAGAAAUCAAGAUGGCAGUCCACUUGAGGAAAAUGGAUUAAUACACGAAUGCUGUGAUAUAUGCAACCGAGACAGGGUUCUUUUAACAUGGAUUUCAUGAAAUGAAGAUAUAGGUUUCUUACCUAUAGUCCCGACACAAUGGACAGUGGAUUUGACUUUCUAAAGACUUUUUGUAUCGUUAAAUCAAGUAUAUUUUUGACAUUUGGAGAAGAUGGUAUAUUAACACAGAUGAUAGUUUGUAUGCCUGGAAUUUUCAAUAGUUUUGUAUGACCUUGUGGAAUGUUACCUUUAAUAAAAUUUCUAACACUUUAAAAUUUCUCAGUUUGGGCUUUUUUUUUUUUUUUUAAGCUUGAAAUUUCAUUAAAUGUUUGGUUAUCGCCUUAAAUAACACUUUGCCCGUUACAGUUUCCUAGCAGUAAAGUGUACUGAAUAAAGUUGGUCAAAUGGAAAUGGUGUGCUGGGAAAUGUUUUACUUGGUUGGUUAAGAAUUCGUCCUUUGUCAUCAAGUUGUGGAAACUGGUGCUUUGGGGGGGGGACGGUUGGUUGAAAUGCUAUUUUGUGUUUUCUUGAAACAUCUUGCAAAAUAACUUGGAAAACUAUCAUUGGUUAAUAAUAACAUCUUUAAUUUGCCAUGAUAUUUUAAUGAACUUUUAAAACAAAAUGCCAUUUGCCUCAAUUAGGAUUUUGUGUUGAUGUGAAAGAUUCUCCUUUACCAUUUUUAAAAAAUAUUAUAAAUAAGGCAUUGUUCCAAUAAUUUAUUCACCUGAACAUUUUAACUAAACUGAUGCCUCUUAAUACUUAAUAAUAGGAUAAGAAGUGUUGACUUAUUGAAACAUGGGGCAGUCAUAUAAGAACAUAAAGUUUUGGUGGCAAUAUCUAAUAUGUUUUAUGUAAAUAUAAAAUAGAAUUACUAGCUUGUGUCUUGUGUACAAGUGAAAUUUAGACUAAAUGAAAUCAUACCAUAUCAUCGAUGUCUGAGUUCCAUUUGAAUACUGAAGUUUCAAUUUGCUUAUAACCAACCAAUGUCAGUUUUAUUAACUAUUAUAAAGGUGUGGCAGGUAAGCUUUAUUUUGAUAGACCAACUGGAAUAGAUUAUAUUGUACUCUUAUGUUGAGAACAAGGGGUAGUUAAGCUUUGAUUUUUGGGGGGGGUGAGAAAUAGUCAUAAUGUGUUCAUGUUUAAUGUCAAAUACCUUAACACGCAUUCAUGAUCAGUAUAUGUUUGGUAUUCUCCAUUGACUGAUUUCAGGUGGUUGAUCUGUAUAAACCAGAAGUGGAAUGUGGAUUUUGGUUGGUACAAAAUUACCUUCUGUAGAAAAUAAGGAACUGCAAUUGGAUUUUGAUGAUGGAUUUUUACAUUUACUUAGAUAUGCAACAUUAUUGGUUUGGUAGGGUUUAAAUCUAAAAUGGAUUUCCUCAGAGGGAAGGGUAUAUUGUUCUUAGAGUUUGAUGCUGAGUGAGGAAAGUUGAUUUUCUUUGGAUGUGUGACUUCUUGGGAGUGCUUGUUGGGAGAAGAAAGUGUUGAAUAGUUUCUUUUUUGGUAUUAGUAAUGUGUUUCCAUAGAUCACAUGAAUUUGAUAUUUAGGAGAAUUUUCCUUUUGACAUUGAUUACUUGCCGUCAGAUAAGAUCAGUUGUUAGCAACUUGUCUUUGUUGACAUGGGUAUACACUUGCAAUUUGAUUUCAAAAACAAGGGGAGGGGGUUGGGGAUAUAUGUGAUGUGCUGGCUUUAGAGGUGGAGUCUCUUGGGUUUGUUACAGUUGACUGGUAGUUUCAUACUCUUGAAUUUGAAGAACUUUUGUCGGAAUCAAUAUGGGAAGUAAAUUUAUUGUGGUUAUGAGAAUUUUAGGGGAACAAGGUUUGCAAGGUUAUAUAAUGGGUUAAAGAAUUUUGUGCAAGAACAAAGAAACAUUGAAAAUCUUGAUUUAAAAACAAGUUGCAUUAAUUUUUGCUCUCCUGCAACUGAACACUAGGGAGGCGCUCUUGAGUUGUACCCCUUUCUUCCAAUUGGGAUGGAAAAUUACCCCUUAAGCUUUGCCUGUAGUUAAUUUUUAGACUUAAUAAAGAAGGCAAAAGUGGAAUUUAAUUUAUGAAACUGAGGCUUUGCUUUCAUUUGUAAGCCAUUUUACCCACGGGGGGGGUUAAUUUUUAAAAAAGAUUAGUACUUAAGCUGAGCUUUAUAUUCUCUUAAGAAUUAUCCCUCUUUCAAAAUGGCUUGAUAAAACACCACUUCCUGUCCAGAGAGGAAGUUAUUUUAGCUCAAGGACUGAAAUAUUUAGCAGAUCUUUAGACAAAAGGAACAAAUUACAUUUCUCUCUGGCUUAAAAAGGGUGCUUGAGCCAGAGGGGGGUUAAGAAACCCUCCCCCCUUCCCCUGAUGGGGUGGUCUGGA